ensembl:snRNA U6 U6 spliceosomal RNA
GCGCUUGCUUCGGCAGCACAUAUACUAAAACUGGAACAAUACAGAGGAGAUUAGCUUGGACCCUGCACAAGGAUGACAUGCAAAUUUGUGAAGUAGUCCAUAUACUA